GACCGACAUUAGCGAUUCAUUGGCCGAGCCCUGGCCUACCGCCAGAUAUGCGUUCAUCCCCAGCUCUUUCAUCUGCUGUUCGCCGAUAACCCGGGUAGUGGUAGUUUUGCCGUAGCCGUCGGCCAGCUGGCGCGCCUGCGAGGCCAGGUAGGCGGGAUUGCAAAUAUUGGGCGGCAUGUUGCCCAAGUCUUUAGC
rfam:Sodalis glossinidius str. 'morsitans' DNA, complete genome.